CAAAGGGUAGUUUAAUAAAAGAUAUUAAUUUUGGAAAUUAAUGAUAAGAAUUUCUUUCCUUUGA
rnacentral:tRNA from 1 species